rnacentral:ncRNA from 1 species
GAUGCGCGCCGGCAAACUUGCUGAAAGGCAAGGACGCAACACUACGGGGCUAAUGGAUCCGAUCCGAUGCCAGCCGGGUUGCCGGU